CCUGAUGCCCAUCUGCAGACCCUGCUCUGAAGGCUGGGGGUGAGUGUGGCUCAGCCAUUCCAGCUGGGUUUGCCGUCAGCUCAGG
rnacentral:pre_miRNA from 1 species